rnacentral:rRNA from 1 species
GUGCCAGCAGCCGCGGUAAGACGAACCGUGCAAACGUUGUUCGGAAUCACUGGGCUUAAAGGGCGCGUAGGCGGGCCAGCAAGUCCGGGGUGAAAUCUUUCGGCUCAACCGGAAAAGUGCCUUGGAUACUGCUGGUCUCGAGCGAGGUAGGGGCAGGCGGAACUUCCGGUGGAGCGGUGAAAUGCGUUGAUAUCGGAAGGAACUCCGGUGGCGAAAGCGGCCUGCUGGACCUCUUCUGACGCUGAGGCGCGAAAGCUAGGGGAGCAAACGGGAUUAGAUACCCCAGUAGUCC